rnacentral:lncRNA from 1 species
UGUUUUUAAAAAUAGUUUUAUAAUCAUGUAAGUCAUUCUAGGAUCCUUAUGUUCUCUUUAUCCAAAACCAUAUUUAAAUAUCAAGACUUUUGUGCUUGUUUGGAUUUAGGGGAAAAAAUAAGUGGUUCACUUGUCUUAUCUGUCUACCUCAAAGUACUAAAAAUACUCAUUUUGAUCAUGUCGAUGGUUAUACAGCAACUGUAUAAGUCUCCAUCCUUCCUAUAAUACUCUCUCUAGGGCUAGAGAGUUAGAGGGAAGAAGUGGGGCACCACAUCUCAGCCAUGAGCCCUCAAACCAGGAGAGCCAGAUGUUCCAGCUCUGGGCAAAAACCCAGGAAGGCAAUCCACGCAUAGAAUCAAACACACCUAGAUUAGAAGUCAUUGGAUAUUAUGCCUCU